rnacentral:antisense_RNA from 1 species
AGUCAUGGUCUCUAUUCCUUGUUAAUAGGGAUUGUGAUUAGCGGGCUGGCCGUGUUGCUGCACGACCAGCUCGCGU